CGGAGGAAAAGAAACUAACAAGGAUUCCCCUAGUAACGGCGAGUGAAGCGGGAAGAGCUCAAAUUUGUAAUCUGGCCCUUUCAGGGUCCGAGUUGUAAUCUCGAGAAGUGUUUUCCGCGCCGGACCGCAUACAAGUCUGUUGGAAUACAGCGUCAUAGUGGUGAGAGCCCCGUAAUUGAUGUGGAUGCCCGGUGCUUUGUGAUACACUUUCGAAGAGUCGAGUUGUUUGGGAAUGCAGCUCAAAUUGGGUGGUAAAUUCCAUCUAAAGCUAAAUAUUGGCGAGAGACCGAUAGCGAACAAGUACCGUGAGGGAAAGAUGAAAAGCACUUUGGAAAGAGAGUUAACAGUACGUGAAAUUGUUGGAAGGGAAACGCUUGAAGUCAGACUUGCUAUUCGGAAUUCAGCCGCAAGGUGUACUUUUCGAUUUGCAGGCCAGCAUCAGUUUUUGGGGGUGGAAAAGGGUGGAGAGAAGGUAGCAACCUUGGUUGUGUUAUAGCUCUUUACUGGAUUCAUCUUUGGGGACUGAGGAUCGCAGUGCGCAAUUUACUUUGCAAACCUUUCGAGGUUUUCGUACUUAGGAUGCUGGUGGAAUGGCUUUAAACGACCCGUCUUG
rnacentral:rRNA from 1 species